UUAGUAAUAUCUGAAUCUGAUAAAAUUGAAACAAUAUAGAGAAGAUUAGCAUACCCCUGUGCAAGAAUGGCAUGCACAGAUCGAGAAAUGAUCCCAAAAAAC